UCAGGCGUGGUGUAUGGAACACCGCGGGGCCCUUUUGCAAGAUCGAUUGGUACUAUGCUACCCGCAGUCUGGGGUUCGACUCCCCGCGUCUGAA